UUUGGUAUAGUAGUGAACGCUAAAUCCGGUGAAGUUGUCUCUUCUCGUUAUUGAGUUCUUUUUUUUUAGAAUUGUUAUUCUGCUUAAGCAAGUUUAUUGUGGUGAUGAGUCUUUAGGUGACUAGGUUAGUGUUAUUUGUUUUUAACUUGGAAAAUAUUAGUAUAAGCUACUUGUUAAGAUUAUUUUCAUGUUCACUUUGGGUCCUUUGUUAUUUUCAUUGUUUAGUUAAAUUCAUAUAUUUUGUUUGUUAAAAAUGGUCGAGGCAAGCCGGGAAGGGGCUGAGACUUAGGAUUCGAAGACCAAGUCAGAGACUACUAGACGUCUCGCAGAGCGACUCUCUUCCUAGCAGCCUAUGUCUAGUGUCAAAAAAGGCAUUAGCACUUUCCCCGGUUCCGUUGCUACCGCGGGCUUUACGCAAUCGAUUGGAUUAGAUAGAUAUCCCUUCAACAUAGGUCAUCGAAAGGAUCUCGGAGACCCACCAAAGUACGAAAGCCAGGACCCUUUUAUUCUAUACUCUAUUUUUUGCCCGCCCUGAGGAGGAACUAAAGCCCUACCUUAUAGAAUGAAAUUCCGAAGUUUUGCAAUAACUUGAGAAAGAUCCGGAUUUCCCAGAGAGUGCUUUUUCGGUGCGGUGCAACCAACAUGAGAAAAUCUCUUCGUCGAUUUUGGAGGCCUCCUCAUUUUAAAAGAUGGAAAUUUAGUUCAUGUUUAUAUUCUUUAUAUGUUAAAAUUGGCCGAUGAAGAAAUUAUCGUAGAUUUCCAAGGUCUUCCAUGUUAAUAAGACGGAUUCUUAUUUUUAAGUUAUUCGUUGAUUCAUUUAUUUUUAUUCAUGUUAAUUUAUUACUAACACUUUUACUAAGUGUCUUUACAGGUACCAGGAGGUGCUUUCCAUUGAAGCUGUUCGAAUUAUACUCUUAUUCAAUAUUGUAUAUUAUUGACGAUAGGCAAAUUUAGGCCGAUUCCUAUAUUAUUGUUUUAUCAUAUUACUUGUGUAUAUUGCAUGUUUAUUAUACUUGUACAUUAUUUUAUUCUCAUCCUUAAUUUGAAAAAAUGAAUUUAGUCGGGAUCCAUAUUUGAUGUCAAACCCCUUCCCUUCAGAAUAACUUGAACACCUUAUCUAGAAUCAAUUGGUUUCAUAGACAUUUAUUUUAAGUUAAUUUGUUAAUUGAUUUCCUAGUUUUCCAAAAAUUAGGUGGCGACUCUCUUUUCCCUUUAAACUCCUUUACCCUUUUAAAUUUUUUUAAUUCUUUUAAAAAUUGAUCACUAUUUUUUGGCAAGUCACUGCCACAUUGCGCCCUCUCAUAGAAUGUCAACAGUCAUUUUUUUUACUUAUGGUACCAAAUAAUUAUUCACUUUGUUUCAAUAUUACAAAUCAUACUUAUUUAUGCCAUUUUUCUCUUAUAACGCGAAGUAGAUUAAAUCAUGAAUAAUCGCAUAACAAAUUUACAAUUCACAAGGAAGAAAAGUACAUAAUUAAAUAUAUAUCUCUUUGAUUUGCUGGUGGACACACUUCUAUUUUCUUCUCUUUGUUUUUUUGUUUUUCAGUUAGUGUUGGAUAAAUUUGUAUUCGCACUGUUGGAGUCAUUUU
rnacentral:lncRNA from 1 species